rnacentral:tRNA from 1 species
UUACCCGGUAGUGUAACGGUAGCACAAGAGUUUUUGGUACUCUUUGUCAAGGUUCGAAUCCUUGCCGGGUAAU